rnacentral:rRNA from 1 species
GACGAACCGUCCUAACGUUGUUCGGAAUCACUGGGCUUAAAGGGCGCGUAGGCGGCUUGCCAAGUCAGGGGUGAAAUCCUGCAGCUUAACUGUAGAAGGGCCUUUGAUACUGGCGAGCUCGAGGGAGGUAGGGGUAUGUGGAACUUCCGGUGGAGCGGUGAAAUGCGUUGAUAUCUGGAGGAACACCGGUGGCGAAGGCGGCAUCCUGGACCGGUAUUGACGCUGAGGCGCGAAAGCCAGGGGAGCAAACGGG